rnacentral:rRNA from 1 species
UAGGGAAUCUUCCACAAUGGACGCAAGUCUGAUGGAGCAACGCCGCGUGAGUGAAGAAGGCUUUCGGGUCGUAAAACUCUGUUAUUGAAGAAGAACGUGCGUGACAGUAACUGGUCAUGCAGUGACGGUAUUCAAUCAGAAAGUCACGGCUAACUACGUGCCAGCAGCCGCGGUAAUACGUAGGUGGCAAGCGUUGUCCGGAUUUAUUGGGCGUAAAGCGAGUGCAGGCGGUCUUUUAAGUCUGAUGUGAAAGCCUUCGGCUUAACCGAAGAAGGGCAUCGGAAACUGGGAGACUUGAGUGCAGAAGAGGAGAGUGGAACUCCAUGUGUAGCGGUGAAAUGCGUAGAUAUAUGGAAGAACACCAGUGGCGAAGGCGGCUCUCUGGUCUGUAACUGACGCUGAGGCUCGAAAGCGUGGGUAGCAAACAGGAUUAGAUACCCUGGUAGUCCACGCCGUAACGAUGAAUACUAAGUGUUGGAGGGUUUCCGCCCUUCAGUGCUGCAGCUAACGCAUUAAGUAUUCCGCCUGGGGAGUACGACCGCAAGGUUGAAAC